rnacentral:pre_miRNA from 1 species
CUUGAGUGGAAUGUUGUCUGGUUCAAGGUCUAGCUCUGUGGUUUGAGGAUGAUUUGCGCAAAGUUUUUCAUUCCUCUCAUCAUUGGGAUCUCGGACCAGGCUUCAUUCCCCUCAAA